CCCAUAGCCUGGAGAAGUGCCUGACAUGAGUGUUCAACAGGUGUUUGUUGAAGGAAUGAAUGCAGUGUCUUAGGCCUAAAAACAUAACAUUCAUUGCCAAAAAUAAGACUUUGUGUUAUUCUAAGAUCAUUACCCUUGCAACAUUCCCGACUGGAUUGAAAAAAAAAAUCUCAGUUCUAUUUCUUUUUACAGGUUUCACUCUGUUGCCCAGGCUGGAGAGCAGUGGCACGAUCUCAGCUCACUGCAACCUCUGCCUCCUGAAUUCAAGUGAUUAUCCUGCCACAGCUUCUGGAGUAGCUGGGAUUACAGGGCCUCACUCUGUCUCCCAGGCUGGAGUGCACUGGUGCAAAUAUGGCUGACUGCAGCCUUGACCUUCUGGACUCAAGCAAUCUUCCCAUCUUGGCCUCCUGAGUAGCUGGGACUCAGGUGUGUUCCACUGCACCUGGCUAUUUUAAAAAAAAUUUUUGUAUAAACAGAGUCUUGCCAUGUUGCCUGGGG
rnacentral:lncRNA from 13 species